UCCAAUUCCCCUCUUCACAAAAAAAUGCCGGUGCUCGUCAUUGCUUUUGCACCAAUUGACCCCACACAGCAAGUAAGGCAAUGUAUACAGUAUUAUGUAGAGUAGCGCACCAGUCUCUCAGGCUUGACCCUCUCACCCCUGUCCUCCCCUAUAAGCCUAAAGGUCAUAUCAUAAAGAGAUUGUCUCCAGAUAAUAGAGUACAGAAACAUCAACUCUCUCCAUCUGUUCUCCUGCCUGCUGGGAGUUGAGUGGAUCUAAUAGUGUGGCAUUAAGCUCCACUGUAGAUUCCUCAAAAGUUUUUCAUUACAGAAAUCUAUAUCAAUCCCCUUCCCUCCUGUCAAACUAAUGCGUUGUUAGAUCCCCAAUGACCCUCUGGAACACAUCUCUCUGGGUUUCACCAGAGAAUGGCUGGUGCCCAUACAGCAGCUAAAACUUUAUGUGACGCGCUUAGCUACCUGAUGAAUAUUCUCCCAGCGUUUCUGUUUCCCUGUAACAUCUCUACUACCUCGCUCACCAACCAACAGUUGACCUGCAGGGGAAACCUUCUAACCCAGGCCUUUAGAAAGAGACAAGGAGAGGAGGGGCAGAGGUGUUGGAGGCAAAUCAGAGGAAUUAACUGUCUUUAACAGAGAAGUCAUGGUGUAAGCCUGCCGUAUGUAUAAUUUACAGUAUGUACCAUUUACAGUAUGUAUAAUUUACAGUAUGUAUCAUUUACAGUAUGUAUCAUUUACAGUAUGUAUCAUUUACAGUAGGUAUCAUUUACAGUAUGUACCAUUUACAGUAUGUAUCAUUUACAGUAGGUAUCAUUUACAGUAUGUACCAUUUACAGUAUGUACCAUUUACAGUAUGUAUCAUUUACAGUAGGUAUCAUUUACAGUAUGUACCAUUUACAGUAUGUGUCUUUUACAGUUGGUAUAAUUCCACAUGACCUAUGGGAUGGUUGUGCAUCUGGAAAAUGUCCCCUAGUCUAGAAUGUUCCUUAGCCUAGAAUGUUCCCUAGUCUAGAAUGUUCCCUAGUCUAGAAUGUUCCCUAGUCUAGAAUGUUCCCUAGCCUAGAAUGUUCCCUAGCCUGGAAUGUUCCCUAGCCUAGAAUGUUCCCUAGCCUAGAAUGUUCCCUAGCCUAGAAUGUUCCGUAGCCUAGAAUGUUACCUAGCCUAGUAUGUUCGCUAGCCUAAUUGUAUUCCCUAGCCUAGAAUGUUACCUAGCCUAGUAUGUUUCCUAGCCUAUUGUAUUCCCUAGCCUAGAAUGUUCCCUAGCCUAGUAUGUUCCCUAGCCUAGAAUGUUCCCUAGCCUAGAAUGUUCCCUAGCCUAGAAUGUUCCCUAGCCUAGUAUGUUCCCUAGCCUAGUAUGUUCCCUAGCCUAGAAUCUUCCCUAGCCUAGAAUGUUCCCUAGCCUAGUAUGUUCCCUAGCCUAGUAUGUUCCCUAGCCUAGAAUGUUCCCUAGCCUAGAAUGUUCCCUUUCAUUUAAAAGUAGAGAAUUAUGUUGUUUAUUUUCUUUUCAUUUGUUUGUUUCUUCAUAAUCAUACUGCUGGCAAUGGAGGAGAAAGGUGUUGAUACAUGUUCCUAAUUGGUUUCCAACUCUGUUUCCGGUCUCUUGUUAAUACGAUGAGGUAAUCUGCCAACUCAUUACGUUCAGCACAUAGUUAACUAUGAACCGUUCAUCCCUCUGGAGAACUAAGGUUGUAUUAAUUAAUCACUGAUGUAGGCAGGCGUCCCAAAAGGUAAGGCACCCUAUUCCCUAUAUAGUGCACUACUAUUGACCAGAGCCCAUAGGGCUGUGGUUAAAAGUAGUGUAAUAUGUAGGGAAUAGGGUGCCAUUUGGAGCACAGAACCAUAGAGUGAUCAUAGUAGUAUCUCUCUAGAGCAGUGUCUUACUCUGUGAGCAUACUGGCAAAAUAAGAAAGCCUUGUCCAAGCCAGAGUGAACCAAAGGACAGGAGCCUGCCUCCUGUUUCUGAAGAGUGAGGCAACUUAAUGUACUAGUACACCCCCUUGUCCAAGCCAGAGUGAACCAAAGGGCAGGAGCCUGUCUCCUGUUUCUGAAGAGUGAGGCAACUUAAUGUACUAGUACACCCCCUUGUCCAAGCCAGAGCGAACCAAAGGGCAGGAGCCUGUCUCCUGUUUCUGAAGAGUGAGGCAACUUAAUGUACUAGUACUACCCCUGGACAGGACACUAGUCUGUCUGACUGUACUGGUAUAUAUUACUAUACUAGUACACCCCCUGGACAGGACACUAGUCUGUCUGACUAUACUGGUAUAUAUUAAUGUACUAGUACACCCCCUGGACAAGACACUAGUCUGUCUGACUAUACUGGUAUAUAUUAAUGUACUAGUACACUCCCUGGACAGGACACUAGUCUGUCUGACUAUACUGGUAUAGAUUACUGUACUAGUACUACCCCUGGACAGGACACUACUCUGUCUGACUAUACUGGUAUAGAGUGUAUAUUUGAUUGCGUUAACAUAUCGUGAAUACCAGAGGUGUCACAACACAACAACUGUCACGUGACCUAUACCUACAGGGAAGGAGCUGUGCUUCUCUGUCGUAUUGUGUUUGCACUGGAUCAAUGUGAACGAAUGUAAACAAUGUUAUGUUGUAAAUGUGCCUGGUUUUGUACCCCAUGUUUAUCCAUGUGUAUUGGUUGAUAUGAUAAGCUAUGUGUUAUGUAUGUAAGUUAAAAAAAAAGCUAAACAUUGUUUUGAAUAUAUGAUCACAUUAAUAAUACCGAGAAUAUGCAACCAUGUUAAAUAUGCUAAUCAUGUAUAAUAAAAUAAGAAUAUAGAUACA